ACUUGAAUAGCUUAUUUUUUAGAGCAUAACAUUGAAGAUGUUAAUGAGAUUAUAUUUGAUCUUUAAGUA
rnacentral:tRNA from 1 species